UACGUAGGGGGGCUAGCGUUGUCCGGAAUCACUGGGCGUAAAGGGCGCGUAGGCGGCCUGCUAAGUCACACGUGAAAUCCCUCGGCUCAACCGGGGAACUGCGUGUGAUACUGGCGGGCUUGAAUUCGGGAGAGGGAUGUGGGAAUUCCAGGUGUAGCGGUGAAAUGCGUAGAUAUCUGGAGGAACACCGGUGGCGAAGGCGGCAUCCUGGACCGAGAUUGACGCUGAGGCGCGAAAGCUAGGGUAGCAAACGGG
rnacentral:rRNA from 1 species